rnacentral:rRNA from 1 species
UACGAAGGGGGCAAGCGUUACUCGGAAUUAUUGGGCGUAAAGCGUGCGUAGGCGGCUUUAUAAGUUGGAAGUGAAAGCCUUUGGCUCAACCAAAGAAUUGCUUACAAAACUGUAGAGCUAGAGUAUUAGAGAGGAUAGAAGAAUUUCUGAUGUAGGGGUGAAAUCCGUAGAUAUCAGAAAGAAUAUCGAAGGCGAAAGCAUCUGUCUGGCUAAAUACUGACGCUGUUGCACGAAAGCGUGGGGAGCAAACAGGAUUAGAUACCCUGGUAGUCCACGCAGUAAACGAUGAGUGCUAGAUGUUAGAACUAUGUUUUAGCGUCGAAGCUAACGCAUUAAGCACUCCGCCUGGGAACUACGAUCGCAAGGUUA